GAUGAACGCUGGCGGCGCGCUUAACACAUGCAAGUCGAACGGAAAGGCCUGCUUUCCCUUGUGGAUUGCGGGUACUCGAGUGGCGAACGGGUGAGUAACACGUGAGUGAUCUGCCCCCAACUUGGGUAUAAGCCUGGGAAACUGGGUCUAAUUCCCGAUAGGACUGCAGGGUGGUGCCUGUGGUGGAAAACGAUUUUCUAGUGGUUGGGGAUGAGCUCGCGGCCUAUCAGCUUGUUGGUGGGGUAAUGGCCUACCAAGGCGGCGACGGGUAGCCGGCCUGGGAGGGUGGACGGCCACAUUGGGACUGGGAUACGGCCCAGACGCCUACGGGAGGCAGCAGUGGGGAAUAUUGCACAAUGGGCGGAAGCCUGAUGCAGCGACGCCGCGUGGGGGAUGACGGCCUUCGGGUUGUAAACUCCUUUCGACCGCGAGGAAGCCACCUGGUUGGAAGGGUGGUGACGGUAGUGGUAGAAGAAGCACCGGCUAACUACGUG
rnacentral:rRNA from 1 species